GCGGGGGCAACCCUGGCGGCGAGCGGCGAACGGGUGAGUAAUAUAUCGGAACGUAUCCUGUAGUGGGGGAUAACGCAGCGAAAGCUGUGCUAAUACCGCAUACGAUCUACGGAUGAAAGUGGGGGACCGCAAGGCCUCACGUUAUAGGAGCGGCCGAUAUUCGAUUAGCUUGUUGGUGAGGUAAAGGCUCACCAAGGCUGCGAUCGAUAGCUGGUCUGAGAGGAUGAUCAGCCACACUGGGACUGAGACACGGCCCAGACUCCUACGGGAGGCAGCAGUGGGGAAUUUUGGACAAUGGGGGCAACCCUGAUCCAGCCAUUCCGCGUGAGUGAAGAAGGCCUUCGGGUUGUAAAGCUCUUUUGGCAGGGAAGAAACGGUUGCGGUGAAUAGCCGCGACUACUGACGGUACCUGCAGAAUAAGCACCGGCUAACUACGUGCCAGCAGCCGCGGUAAUACGUAGGGUGCGAGCGUUAAUCGGAAUUACUGGGCGUAAAGCGUGCGCAGGCGGUUUUGUAAGCCAGAUGUGAAAUCCCCGGGCUUAACCUGGGAAUGGCAUUUGGGACUGCAAGGCUAGAAUCUGGCAGAGGGGGGUAGAAUUC
rnacentral:rRNA from 1 species